rnacentral:tRNA from 1 species
UGGGAUGUAGCUCAGAGGCAGAGCAGGUGACUGUUAAUCACCAGGUCGAGAUAUCGUAACUCUCCAUCCCAGCCA